CGCUUCCCGGAAGAGGCGUGCUGAAGGCUUGAUGAUUGGCGCCCGAAGGGGACGUUGGCUUCCUUCGGGGUUUGAGAGGGGCGACCUUCCUGUUCUUACCCCGCCAAGUCCCGGGAGCUCCACCAACCCGACCUCGCUCUAUUCGCGUUCGCGGCCCCACGGCCUCUAGUAGCCGCGUUUUAGGAUCCCAGUCACCAACAGCACCAGUACAUUCAGGACGCGAAGUGCAUGAAGUAACCCAUGAACACAGUGGGAGGGAACCAUGCUCUCUCCUAGAGAGGACAAAGUGAAACAAACCAGAAGCUAUGCUACCAAGGGGAAGACGGAAAGAGGGAAGAACCAACGCUGAUACAGUGGCCCAGCCCAGUGGUACACUCAGUAGCAAACUGGACUGCAGUGCUGGAAGUCAUAUGGCUGACUGCAGAGCAGACAGAAGCUGGGAAGGCAGGACCCCGCUGAGCAGCACAUCGGCUCCCGGAGGUGGUGGACAGUGGGAUAUCUCAUCAAACCCACGGAAGAACUCAAUAACAAAGGCUUGAAGAAAGGGAUGCAGGACAACUCUGAGGACUUUGGCAGCAGAGACUGAAGGCCUGCCCUCCAGAGUGCUUUCAUCAGGAUAGCAUGCGGCCACGAGCCCCACCCUGUGAGUUGAAACGCCCUACACAUAAAAUCAUUAGGAAUAUGUCUGAUUACUUCUCUAGGAAAGUUCCAGAAGUCGAAGUACUGGGUCAAUUUUUAAGAACAUCUUAAGGUUUUUGAUUUAUAGAAGCAAUUACGGCUCCAAAAAAGCCACCGCAAAUCAUUCUCUCAUCAGUAGGAGAUAAAAAUGUCAUCC